rnacentral:rRNA from 1 species
CUACGUAGGUCCCGAACGUUGCGCGAAAUUACUGGGCGUAAAGGGUCCGUAGGCGGUCUGGUAAGUGGAAGGUGAAAGCCUGGGGCUCAACUCCAGAAUUGCCUUCCAAACUGCCGGACUUGAGGCAGGGAGAGGUCGGCGGAAUUCCCGGUGUAGUGGUGAAAUGCGUAGAUAUCGGGAGGAACACCAGUGGCGAAGGCGGCCGACUGGAACUGUCCUGACGCUGAGGGACGAAAGCCAGGGGAGCGAACCGGAUUAGAUACCCUAGUAGUCC